CAGUCUACGAAGUUCCCUUAAUUACUUCGUGAAAGAAAACGCUGACAUAUGAAGCUCGGUCGAUCACUUCAUAAAAGAAACGCUGACUCCAAAGCUCUCUCAAAAUAAAAGUAUGGGGAAAUACUACUAGAGUACUCCCGUACGCUCCCGUAACCGACACACAAAAUUGCCAAAAAGACUUUGUACAUGAUAGUACUUCUGGCACAUUAUAGUACUUUGGUAUGCGAAAGAAUCGUACCCGAGAACAUAAUAGUACCCUGGCACAAGCAGCACCCAAGACACAGAGCUUUGAAAAAGACUUCGUACAUAAAAUGUACUUCUGUACGUAGGACGUACUCCACCGAUCAUCAAUCUCGCAACGCACGUACUCUUAAUAAGAGACUACCCAAUGUCCAAACUUAAUUGAACUAAACAUCCCAUUUAAGUCUUAACCCAUCACUAGGCAAACCUACAAUACUUAUAAUCAAUUCCCGAUACUAUCUCCGUUUAGGAAAAAGACUAACUAGUGUAUACUUAACACAAGGUUUUAAGUAAUAAUAUCAUAUAUAUACAUCUUAACACAUAUUGAACCAUAUAUGAUUCGUACGUUGUAUAUCAUCAAAUAUAUCUAACACGUAUUUCAGAAAAUAACAAAUACUUCACAUACAUAUGUAUAUUUCAUACUUUAAUCAAUUCUUGUGUUAAAAUCACGUUCCUAAAAGGGACUAUACACAUGAUACCUUAUCGAAUGAACACGUAAUUCAAAAAUACAUAAUCCGUACUCCAGGAUCUAAAAUUAACCUCUUGAGCUGAUCCCUACUCUCGGAUCUAAAACUAAUCUCUUGAUCUGAUCCAUACUCUCGGAUCUAAAACUAACCUGUUGAUCUGAUCCAUACAUCCAGAUCUAAAACAAGUUUAUCUCUUUAUUCUUUAUCUCAUGGUCCAACCCAUAUUUUAUCACUUACCAACAACCUCAUCUACUCAUGUUCUACCCAACAUAUUUUUAGACACAAAAUACAUAUAUAGUUUAACUCAUUAAAACUUAUAUAAUUCAUCCACUCCACAACCUCUCAAAUAAACAACGAUAUAUUACACACAUAGCACGUAUUUCAUAGCAGAUACUUAAUAUUUAUGUGCUUAGAAGAAAGUAACUACACACUCACGUGAUUAGUAGAUGAUCGGACAACACUACGGCUUGUAGAAGUAGUAUUCUUCGGCAUAUCUGGAAGAUCUUCAAAAAAACCGGACUCCUCGCGGGCAGAGCUUCGGCUCGGGAAUUGCACUUCUCGGGAUCUUCGGGGCCUCGGGACUUGCUUCGGGGCUCGGGAAUGAUACCGGGGCUUCGGGAUAAUUCUUGCACGAAAAACGAUGCAAAAACGCGAGAAAAAGGGAAGAAAUGAGCAAACUACUCGGCUGCCCUCGACACCCUUUUAUAGGGGCUGGAAGGUCGAAUUACGCUGGGCGUAACUUGAGAUUACGCUGGGCGUAACGACGAUAAGGUCGCUGACUCCCCCCAUGGAUAAUAUCGGCCAAUAUAUAUUUAAAUUAAAUAUCGAAAAUAUUUAAUAAACUUCAAAAAUUCAUAUCUUCCUCAUACGAACUCCGUUUUCGAUGUUAUUUAUAUCCCCGCGUAGGUGAGACUACGCUCUACAACUUUCGUUUAGACUCCGUCGGCUAAUUUUGAAUUUAUUUUUAGUAGGCCGGGACAGAAAAACUCCGUUAUAAAAUCAUAACUUCUUCACCCGACGUCCGUUUUCGCCUAUCUUUUUAUCUUUUUACUACAAUUAAUGAGAUCUUCAAUUCUCAUUUAGAUUGUUUCGGCUAAAAACUGCUCGUUCUCAAAUCGAGCAUUCGGGCUCCAUACCGCUAACUCGAAACUUCGAAAAAUCAUAACUUCCUCAUACGAAGUCAGAUUUGGGCGUUAUUUUUAUGCACGCUCAUGGUUUAACGUAUUAUACGACUUUCAUUUAGAUUGCUAAGGCUAAAUAUUACUCUAACGUAAAUUCACUUUUUACGUCACGCUGUGUCGUACCGGUUCUGUCGCGAAACUUCGACAGGUCAUAACUUCUUCGUUAUAACUCGGAUUUCGGCGUUCUUUAUAUGCACGAAACCUUGUAACAUAUACUAUAACUUAGUUAAGAUUAUUCAUUCUAAAUAAUCUUUAAUCAAAAAUUCAUUUUUGACGCCUAUCGUCUCUAAAUUGACUAGCCCUGAUCUACGGGCGUUACAAUUAUCUCCCCCUUAGGAUGAUUACGUCCCGGAAUCAUCAAUGAAAUAUGACUUGAAUAAUGAUUCCACACGUUAUUAUUCAUCCUAGGUAAUAACCGCAACUUAUAUGUUUCUUCGAAAUAGUAUUUAACUCUAUGGCUUUCUUUACCGCAGAAGAUGCCAAAUCUUGCAUCUGCUUAUCGUACUAGGUUGUACUUUCAAUCGUAACCUUCAAGUUACCGAAUAAGUCCUUACUGUGGACUCAUUCUUCUUCUUAGGAUAAAUACUUUCCUUUAUCUAUUGUAACAGACCGAUGGGUCGUGCUCUACUGACCUCUCGUCGUACGAUGCAACGCUUAGACUUGGUCUUUUUAAAGUUAAAUUCCAGAAUGGAAUAUACCUUCCUUCAUAUUCUAAUGUGAUAUAAUCACAUUUCAGUAUGUAGCAUUUCUAGCUACAAACUUUAUGAACAACGAGCGCGAUACCAAUGAUCGUAUUGACUUCAAUCUUUUGACUUACGUUAGAUGUUACUUCGAACUUGGUUCUCUGAACCACGUAACAUACUCACCGUAGUCGGACUCCAAUUGGAUAUGACCACUAGGGUCGGAACAAGAACCAUCUUACUAGUCAUUACCGAAACCAUGGUAAUGACACACUUGAACAAAACAGAAUCAAUUACUAGCUUCUUGGUAACCUUGUGACUUUCCCUGAUCCAAGUGCGAGUCCUGUGCUUCCGGUAGUAUAUGCAUCUACUAUCUUUCACACCUACUCAUACUCGUCCCAAGUAUUGUCCCGCAGUCGACCAAGUCACCAUACAAGAAAAUCACAAAACAGUUUAACACAUACGAAUGUGUCCAAGUAAUCAUAAACAAUUUCCUUAGACUCUACUAGGACUUCUUCAUUGCUCAAUCUUCAAUCAUCAACUCUACUUCAACUCGAUUGGUGAUGGAAAUACCAGACGAUGAGACAACUUCAAGAAUUUCACCAAUCGUUCCAUCAUCCUGCUAAUCGAAGGUGUACUUUAGACGUACCGUACUCCUCUAAACGUACUUUUAUUUCAUAAGACAUACUCUAAAGGCAAGAUACCACUCUUACGAUAUCUUCCGAUAGGUGUCAUUCACUAUCAUAAGCCUUCUUUAUUUCCUCCAUUUACUCAAUUCUCUACAAGUCUUCACCAUGACCUUUUGUACAUCCAAGCAGACAUUCGGUGUACCAACGAGAAUUUAAGAUAAGAAAGCUUCAUUUACGAUAAACGUAUAAAUCUCCUUAUCCCUCCGAAACGUUUACAUGCUAGUUCUAAUAUCGUAGUCGUACGCUUAGAAUCCUAAACACAUAAGGUUUCCAGAUCCGGUCGGCAACAGACCAUAGACCCGAACAAAUAAUAGCAUCAAUUUAGCUAUCACACAAAACAAUUAGCACAUAAAAGCAUUUUAGGCAUCAUUCCUAAAAUAAACUAGUGCUUGUGUCAAUUUAGGUGUACUACCUAACAUAUUUUAGACACACUCCUCACAAUCAUUACUUAGCAUUCUAAGUUUAAGUCUAGAAAUUUCCUACAAAUUCCUAGUUCGCUUAAACUAAUGCUCUGAUACCAACUGUGACAUCCCCAUUUUCACGGCCAGAAAAGACCGAUUUGUUUAUGCUUUGUUUUAUAAAAUCAGAGUAAUCUUUUAAAGAAAACAGUUGCGGAAUUUGUUCCCAAAACAAAAUAUGAUAAAAAUUAUCAAAGCAUUUCCUUAAAGAAAUGUAUUUUCAUUAUAUAACAAAAUCUCGGGAUGUCAUGUUCAAUACAGACCAAAAGCAUAAACAGAACAAAAUAGACCUUACAACAGUUAUUCAUAACUACUGGCCUAUAAUCCAAAAUCUCUCGUCAAGUCCACCAACUUAUACUCUUGUGCCAUUACCUGUAAUCCAAAGAAAACUGAGUGGGUCAGACUCGGGAGCCUGGUGAGCAUAUAGGGUUUUCAACCCACAAUAAUAUAAUUAUUAUAUUUAAUUAUCAAACAAUUAAUCCAAUUACCCACCCCCAUUAUCUCCAUUUAUUUAGUAAAGAUUUACCCUAAGAACCGAAUACCCUUCUCCCAUUCAUUCCUAAGAAAUGCCCUAAGGAAUUUGCACAAAGUCUAGUGCUGCCUUGGUUCUUAGAUUACCUUUGGUGAACACGCAGUUUAAAAUAAUUAAUAAACACCUAUUUCAAGAACACCCAUUGAACACUCCGUUCAAUAAUACCUAAUGAACACCUAGUUCAAAUAUCCCUGGUGAACUCAAUCACCUAAGGAACACAGCGUACGAAAGCUCUUAGUUCAAACCACGUGAUUAAAAUGUAUAUCUCGAUCCUACAAAACCACUAAUAUUAUUAACACAUAUAAAUCAUAUUUCUAAAACAAUCUAUCCCAUCCCGUCGAUCCCCACAUACUGACCCUAUACAAUGAUCUUACGAGAUCUAGCCUAAGGAAAUCGAUAUGAACAACAACUGACGAAGCUGCUUCGGAAAUUCCCUAGCAGCAAACGAGGAUCAAUAAAGACAUCAAAUGAGGGGAAUAGAAUGAGUUUCACCACGAACCUUCGUUCGUAAAAGAAAGAACCACAAGACAUUUUAAGUCAGGGGUAGUUAUCUAGAUAACAAUGCCUAGGCGUGGUCUGACUAUCAUGAGGUAUUAUACCCCCAGACUUUACCUAUCCCAGCAUCGAACUUUGCCUAGCAGUGGCCUGAAUACAUGAGGUAUUUAACCCCCAGACGCACCCUAUCCAGCAAUAUAACACCAAACAUACCUAGCAGUGGUCUAUUACCGACACACUUUACUAGGCAGUCUACGAAGUUCCCUUAAUUACUUCGUGAAAGAAAACGCUGACAUAUGAAGCUCGGUCGAUCACUUCAUAAAAGAAACGCUGACUCCAAAGCUCUCUCAAAAUAAAAGUAUGGGGAAAUACUACUAGAGUACUCCCGUACGCUCCCGUAACCGACACACAAAAUUGCCAAAAAGACUUUGUACAUGAUAGUACUUCUGGCACAUUAUAGUACUUUGGUAUGCGAAAGAAUCGUACCCAAGAAAGUAAUAGUACCCUGGCACAAGCAGCACCCAAGACACAGAGCUUUGAAAAAGACUUCGUACAUAAAAUGUACUUCUAUACGUAGGAAGUACUCCACCGAUCAUCAAUCUCGCAACGCACACACUCUUAAUAAGAGACUACCCAAUGUCCAAACUUAAUUGAACUAAACAUCCCAUUUAAGUCUUAACCCAUCACUAGGCAAACCUACAAUACAUAUAAUCAAUUCCCGAUACUAUCUCCGUUUAUGAAAAAGACUAACUAGUGUAUACUUAACACAAGGUUUUAAGUAAUAAUAUCAUAUAUAUACAUCUUAACACAUAUAUGAUUCGUACGUUGUAUAUCAUCAAAUAUAUCUAACACGUAUUUCAGAAAAUAACAAAUACUUCACAUACAUAUGUAUAUUUCAUACUUUAAUCAAUUCUUGUGUUAAAAUCACGUUCCUAAAAGGGACUAUACACAUGAUACCUUAUCGAAUGAACACGUAAUUCAAAAAUACAUAAUCCGUACUCCCGGAUCUAAAAUUAACCUCUUGAUCUGAUCCCUACUCUCGGAUCUAAAACUAAUCUCUUGAUCUGAUCCAUACUCUCGGAUCUAAAACUAACCUUUUGAUCUGAUCCAUACAUCCAGAUCUAAAACAAGUUUAUCUCUUUAUUCUUUUAUCUCAUGGUCCAACCCAUAUUUUAUCACCUACCAACAACCUCAUCUACUCAUGUUCUACCCAACAUAU
rnacentral:lncRNA from 1 species